UAACAAGCUACUAUCAUGAUGAGAAGAAGAAGAAUUCUGCAUCACGCUCUGUGAAUACCAUAUAUCAUAAAAGUUUGAUGUGACUGUGGAGUAAAUUAUAACGUCUAGAAAACCAGUCAAAAUAUCAGUCUACCACACAGCAGCCUUAUAUGCCAACUGAUGUGAUGGGAGGAUGCUGUGUGGCUUUCAAACUUCAUCUGAAAACUAGUGAAGAGGAAGAACACCAUGUUGAGAAAACAUUUAAAAAUUGAUCCAAGUGGACUCAAGAAUGAAGACAAAUAGAGCCCCGUCACCAACACUGUUCUGCUCUUGCUGAAUUAUCGUGGAUGCUGAUAACUCAUGGUGACAUUCCAGGACCUCUGCGUGGGAAGAAUGGGAGUCAGAGGCCUUUAGACAUAAGAGGACACUGGAAGGUUUUUACAAGCUUUAAACAUUUUUACUGUCUGUGGAUGAUGCACUCCUUCUGCACCUCUGCGAACUUCCAUUUACACAGUGAUACAUGAAGACAGCAGACCUGUUGCAGUGCAGAGAACAGGACUCUAUGGUACACUUG
rnacentral:lncRNA from 1 species